GAUGAAGAACGCAGCGAAAUGCGAUAAGUAAUGUGAAUUGCAGAAUUCAGUGAAUCAUCGAAUCUUUGAACGCACAUUGCGCCCGCCAGUAUUCUGGCGGGCAUGCCUGUCCGAGCGUCAUUUCAACCCUCGAACCCCUCCGGGGGGUCGGCGUUGGGGAUCGGCACUUACCUGCCGGCCCCGAAAUACAGUGGCGGUCUCGCCGCAGCCUCUCCUGCGCAGUAGUUUGCACACUCGCACCGGGAGCGCGGCGCGUCCACGGCCGUAAAACAACCCAAACUUCUGAAAUGUUGACCUCGGAUCAGGUAGGAAUACCCGCUGAACUUAAGCAUAUCAAUAAGCGGAGGA
rnacentral:misc_RNA from 1 species